rnacentral:rRNA from 1 species
AGAGUUUGAUCCUGGCUCAGAAUGAACGCUGGCGGCGUGCCUUACACAUGCAAGUCGAGCGGAGUCCUUGCCGAGGGGCAACCCGAGGUGAUGGCUCAGCGGCAAACGGGUGAGUAAUGGACAGGUAACGUACCCCCAAGACGUGGAUAGCUCAUCGAAAGAUGAGAUAAUACGCGAUAAUGUUGCAGAGCGCCGGCUCUGCAAAGAAAGCGGGCGCAAGCUCGCGCUUCCGGAUCGGCCUGUCUCCUAUCAGCUGGUUGGCGGGGUAAGGGCCCACCAAGGCGAUGACGGGUAGCUGGUCUUAGAGGAUGGUCAGCCACAUUGGAACUGCGACACGGUCCAGACUCCUACGGGAGGCAGCAGUGGGGAAUCAUGGUCAAUGGGCGAAAGCCUGAACCUGCGACGCCGCGUGAGUGAUGAAGGUCGUAAGAUCGUAAAACUCUUUUCAGGGAUCUUAAAGCACAACCGUCAACAACAGUUGUGUGUGACUCUCCCUGGAAUAAGCCCCAGCCAACUACGUGCCAGCAGCUGCGGUAAUACGUAGGGGGCGAGCGUUAUUCGGAAUUACUGGGUGUAAAGGGUAUGUAGGCGGUCUCGCGAGUCGCACGUCAAAGUCCCGCGCUCAACGCUGGGUUCGCGCGCGAUACUGUGGGGACUAGAGGGCUGGAGAGGUGAGCGGAAUUCCCGGUGUAGUGGUAAAAUACGUAGAUAUCGGGAGGAACACCAGCGGCGUAGGCGGCUCACUAGACAGUUUCUGACGCUAAGAUACGAAAGCGUGGGGAGCAAACAGGAUUAGAUACCCUGGUAGUCCACGCCCUAAACGAUGGAUACUUGGUGUUGGGGGGUUGCCCUCAGUGCCGGAGCUAACGCGUUAAGUAUCCCACCUGGGGACUACGGCCGCAAGGCUAAAACUCAAAGGAAUUGACGGGGGCCCGCACAAGCAGCGAGGUAUGUGGUUUAAUUCGACGCUACGCGAAGAACCUUACCUGGGCUUGACAUGCUUGAGUAAGAGCCAAGAAACUGGCUCCCUUUCCACCGCAAGGUGGAGACUCAUCCACAGGUGCUGCAUGGUUGUCGUCAGCUCGUGUCGUGAGGUGUCGGCUUAAGUGCCAUAACGAGCGCAACCCUUGUCGUCAGUUACCAGCAAGUAAAGAUGGGGACUCUGGCGAGACUGCCACCGUAAGGUGUGAGGAAGGGGGGGAUGACGUCAAAUCAGCACGGCCCUUACGUCCGGGGCGACACACGUGUUACAAUGGUGACUACAGAGGGUAGCUACAUAGCAAUAUGAUGCAAAUCUCAAAAAGUCAUCUCAGUUCGGAUUGGAGUCUGCAACUCGACUCCAUGAAGUUGGAUUCGCUAGUAAUCGCGCAUCAGCCAUGGCGCGGUGAAUACGUUCCCGGGCCUUGUACACACCGCCCGUCAAGCCAUGGAAGUUGGGGGUGCCUGAAGUUCGAGACCGCAAGGAUCGACCUAAGGCAAAACUAAUAACUGGGGCUAAGUCGUAACAAGGUA